GGGGAUUUAGCUCAGCGGCAUAAGCACCUGCCUUGCAAGCAGGUGGUGUGAGUUCAAUCCCCA
rnacentral:tRNA from 1 species